UUCAAGAAUAGAGCCCCUGAGCGUAAAACUGUCAACGUAUAUUCUGCAGAACAUACUCAGUUUAAGCGCUACCUACGGCAGUGUCGGCGGUUCCCACAGUGUCCCUAGCUGUUUUGUCUUUCCGAUGAGUUUACGUUUGCUGGGUUGCACGAUUUUGCAAGAGAUUCUUUAUCCAAGGAAGCAGCCGAAGAACUGCCGAGGUGUCUCAAAUUAGUUUUAUAUCCGGACGAUGUAAAACCGGAUAAAAAUAUUAAGGACCAGUUAAGGAAAUAUUUGAUUUUUUCAGCGUAAUUGAUUGUAAUAUUGUUUUGUAAUAUGGUUGGUUGCAAUAUUGUUUUGUAGACUAAAAUGAAAUAAUAAAUUUAUUUCAAAGUUGCAUAAAAAAAUUCUUUUUUAAUAAAAUUCCACGGAUACGCCUAUCUAACCUAUAAAUCUGAUUCGAUGUGAGCGCGCGCGCAUAGGCGUGUAACUGUAUGCGUGCAUAUACAUGAUCGACCAUUCCCUGACGAUUCACAUACUAUACAGAUACUGCGGGAUAUUCGCAGGUACGUACUAUGCCGUAGGAGAAGCGAGACAUAGGAAGAUACUUAGUUUGUACUGUAGUAUAUCUCAGUACGUAUCUCGAUUGUUCCCAGUAUCUACGCAAUCUACUGUUCCGAUAUCCUGCGGAACGUUCUCAGAAUCCACGUGUGCUAUGUGGGUAUGUACACAACGAAAUUAACUCGCGUCUCAACAGGCAACUCCUCGCGACUAUAUUCGUCUGAGAGUAUUCCCGUUUCCAGUUACGCAUGUCGUUGCAAAGUAUAUAUACAUCAAGGGUAAGCUCUGAAAGUGCCCAUAUUUCCACGCGUGUAUAUCGCUUGGUAUUACUCAAUGUAGAAAAUGUCUUGGAACUUUUGACGAAAAUAAAGUCUCGGGUUCUCGUUGAAGUUCUAUAUCGUUAUAUGUAAUCUACAUAGUUUGAUUUCGAGUUAUGCAUAAAAUAAUGAUUUCAAUUUUCUAAGUUUUUUCAGGAGAGAGAGAGAGAGAGAGAGAGAGAGAGAGAGAGAGAGAGAGAGAGAGAGAGAGAACUUUUUUUAGAAGUUUAUUAAUUACUUUGUAAUUUUUUUAUAUUAUGCAUAAUAUACAUGUGCCUUAUUAAUAUUACAAUUAUUGUGUAUUUUCAUAAAGAAGACAAGGAAGGAGAAAAAUGUAUAAAAUUUUUAAUUCUAAUUAUUUGUUUAUCUUAAUUUAUUUAUUUAAUUGAGAAUCUAAUUAAUAAUAAUAAAUAAAUAUAAUAGUUGUUAAUAUUUUCGUAAUAAUUCUAGAUUCUAGAAUACUAUGUAUGUGUGUAUGAAAAAAGAAAUUUUAUAUAAAUGAUUUUAAAAGUCUUGUACAUAAUGAUUACUAAAGACCGGUCUGAGGUCGUAACGAAUUAGAAUUGAAAUAAAGUGAGGCAAAAUGAAGGAAAUGAAGCAAAGUAGCUUCUUUCAUAGGAAUUUCUGGGGUCACGUGAGCACCGUGAGCACACGUUUAUUAAAUUGCCACCCCCUAUAUGGGGGUGGCUAUGCCGCCGCGACGUUGCCACGUUUAAAUCUGAAUUAUCCGGACGGGCGUGGUCCUCAAUUAGCAUUCUUUUCUCUGAGGAAAGAAAAUAUCUUUUAACAUUCUGUUAAUAAACGUCUUAUUCAAGAUUUAACGAAAUUUUUAUCUUACGUUCUGAAAUCCCCUUUCUGAAAGAAAUAUUUUUACUGGAGCGAUCUAAUUUUUUAAUCUUGAUAAAAUCAACGCGAAUAAUAAAUAACGCAUUUUAACAUUAGAGGAAAGAUUAAUAAUAAAUAAAUAAAUGCUCAUAUAACUUGUAUGAACAUAUACUAUAACAAAUAAGCUCACAUAAAAGUAACGUAUACAGAUAUGUAUAAAUGAAUUCUAUUUUUAUCGAUUAUUUUUAUGAUGCCGGUUUUUUACUUUUCUAUCAGACUUGGAUUAUUAUUUAAAAAUAAUAAGCAUUAAUUUUGUAUUUUUUUAUUGAAUCUCGUUUUGGCAAUGUCACUCUGCAUUUCUGCGCGCACGGUGGCGUUAAUAUUUGAUUUAUCUAAAAUGAAAAUGGUACUCUCUCCUGAGAAACUACUCUUUUCCAAACUCAGCACAAAACUUUGCACAUCUCUAUUAUUUUAUCAUCUCACUGCGUACUAGUGCAAAGUUCGGUCGAUUCGCGCAACGGUGAUCUCAGCAAAUGUGAGGCGAUUCAGAAAUGAUUGCCAAAAUUUCUUUUGAGCUGGAAAUAAUCCGCUUAUCAACUGAUUUAAAUAUGAAUCUUGCAAUGUAAGGAAAGUAAAUACAGUAGGAAUAUAUUUUGAAAGAAUUACAUUAAAAAUGUAUAAAUUAAGUUUUACAUCAAAAAUAAAAAAUUAAAAGAAGAAGAAUUGUAACAUUUAGAUUUAACAGAAUAAUUUUAUUAUUGUGCAUGUGUGUCAUAUAUUUUACUCACUUAAUCGAAUACAAACACUUAUUAUAAUAUGCAAAUUUAUUUUAUCUAUAUAAUUAUUUUUUAAAUAAGUUAUUUAGAUUAUUUUAUAAUUUAUAAUUUUUGGAAUAAGGUUCUUGUACAUAUAUGAAAGUAUAUAUAUGGAAUUCCGUGAUAUCAUAGAAUAAAGAUAAAAUACAUUUCUAAAUUUUAAAUAUUUCUAUUAAUUACAUGUAGUGUUACGGUGGGAUUUAAUAUAUAGAUGUAAUAAUUGUCACUAUUUUUCCACUAUUUUUUACUACAUCUUUGGAGUAAAGGUGGUUUACGAUAAUGGCUGCACAAAUGGUAUUAUCGCUCUUGAGUACGUACAUCUUCCUUGUCGCAUUGUUAGGUGCUCAUUUCGAGCCCUUAACGUUUCCCAGUUUCCUUUCGUCGAUUUUCCCACCUAUGCUUCCUUGAAACUGGGAACAUAAUUGCGAAGUCUUGUCACAGAGAAUUAGGCGCUUGACUAUGCUUUCCGGUAAUGCUUCUACAAUUUACUAACGAGGAAAUUAUAGCACCCAUUCGGAAUCGAUAGCGAACAUUUAUCGACCUCAUGCGAUGUAAACGUGACAAUUUCACUUUGAUACAUAUUUAUUACAACCUGUACAUAUAUACAUGUGUUGUAUAAGUACCUAUAAUUGCAUCAACCUUCAUGUUUGUUUUUAUAAACUGUUAUUUUUCCAUUUGAAACAAAUUCCCAAUUUGCUUCUGUAUUUGAAUAAUAUUUAGCAAUAUCAGAAUUCCAGAGUAGAAUAUAAAUUCUAGCGGCAUUAUUUGCAGCAACAAUAAUUGACGACAGAGCAGUAGUUUGGUUUUGCGAAAGGUCCUCCGAGAAGCAGUUAAAUCUGAUUAGUUGAGAAAAGCGCUGCAGAAACUCUUGUUAAGACGCGCUACGAGCGACGUCACGUCCUGAGUUAUCCGCUUCUACCUUCCGGCCUGUUUCCACUCCAUCUUACCAAAGCAUCCUUCCAGUGCAAAUGAAACGCCUGGCGCAAUCCUCGCUGACGAGGUGCUCGCUGGGCUGCAACCUCAUUGGACCAACCAUGCUGCUUGUAAUCUGUCCGCCAUCGCUCUCAUUUGAGCCCCCGAAUUCAGAUAGUGCAUUAAUGAACCAUUUCUAAGUUGAUCAUGAGAUAAAAAUAUACGUGCAAGUUGCGAAACAUUUCUAUUUGUUGUUGUUGUUGUUGUUACAUUUACAUGUCUUUUAUUACUUACUAAUAUAUUAUUGCUAAUUAUCCUUGCAGAAAAUAUAAUACAAAAAAAUUUUGGGGUUUAUGAUACGUUAUAGUCCGUCUAUAUACAGAGAUAAUCAUGAUACUUUAUAAAUUAAUUUUUCUAAUUUUUCUCAUUCUAACAUAUGUAUACAAGCUGUAGAUAGAAACUAAAUAGAAUUAAAAGUUUUAUGUUUAGUUAUAAAUAUACAUUUAUUGUGAAUGAUUAUUAAAAGGUAAUUUACUGUUAGCCGUCGAUGAAAGAGAGAAUAGUUUCUCAAGUUUAGUUGAAAAAUAUCUGAAGUCUUUCUUUUUUUAUUUUAUUGCUACAUGUGCAUAUGCACGAACUGAACAAUAUGUAUUGAACUAUUGUUAGAUUUAACGAUAUUGGAUAUUCGAUAGAAGUGACUUUUGUCUUGCGUGGAAUCACAAUAUGGCCGAUAAUCAUAAAGAUGCAACGUGAGAUUGUACAAAUAUGGAAGCAUACGCUUGAACGUGUCUUAUCGUAGAAAUAGCGCGGAUUGUCUAUAUUCAGCCACAUUUUUCAUUUCGUUUAAAGCGCUUUCUCCGCUUUUUAAAAAGUGUCUAUGAAAUGAAAUCCAUCCCAAGUCGCAACAAAAUAAUUAAAUUUUUAAUUAUUUUUCUUAAUUAAAUUUCUAAUAAUUGGAAAAUACGAUAAAAUGUGUUUGAUAUUUUAGAAUCUUAAUUUGUCCUAUAAUUGUAUGGAAAUGUUUAAUAUUGAAAAUUCAAGACAUACACUGAAAAAAAAA